rnacentral:rRNA from 1 species
GAUGAACGCUGGCGGCGUGCUUAACACAUGCAAGUCGAACGGAGAUAUCAUUUUCGAAGCGAUUAGUUUACUAAGAGUGGAGAUGUUGGUAUCUUAGUGGCGGACGGGUGAGUAACGCGUGGGUAACCUGCCUUGCACUGGGGGAUAACACUUAGAAAUAGGUGCUAAUACCGCAUAACAGGAGAAGAUGCAUGUCUUUUCCUUGAAAACUCCGGUGGUGUAAGAUGGACCCGCGUCUGAUUAGCUUGUUGGCGGGGUAACGGCCCACCAAGGCAACGAUCAGUAGCCGGCCUGAGAGGGUGAACGGCCACAUUGGGACUGAGACACGGCCCAA